rnacentral:lncRNA from 1 species
GGGGAAAUGAUUAUGAAAUCCUGCCACAUUCAAUGGUAGGGUGUAUUAACUGCAAUUUGUCAUUCAUCUAUACUUAAAGUUUAGUUGCUUGCAUAUGUUUCUAAGUGCAUUCACAAGCUGUCUCAUAAUAAAGCCAUGGAGACGUAGGUAAUGUAGAGUUUAAUGGCUAUUGCCUUGAUUCAGAAAGGUGAGAGAGUCACAGCUUUGCAGAGUAACCCAGAAUAAGUUGUUACAUUUCUCCAAGCUUAUUUAGUAAUUUACAAACUAACCCUCUGCCCUCCUUUCUCUUCAGGUGAACCACAAAUAUCUAACUGUUUUCCACAUGAAGAUGUAUCUGUCCCAGAGCUGAACAUGCACCUGGAGCCAGAGGACUCUAAGGAGCUGGUUUUGAAGAAGAAGCUUUGCCUCCUUUUCCCUGCCUACUUUUGGAAAACAAUAUUUAAAGGUGAAAUACAGAGAGAGUCUGGAGCAAAAUGAAAAUAUGAUACAUGUUGCUGCUGCUGCUGCUGCUGCUAAGUCGCUUCAGUCAUGUUCAACUCUGCGCAACCCCAUA